AAUGUUCCCUUCCACCUUGUGGAAGUUUUGUUCUUUCGCUCUUUGCAAUAAAUCCCAUUGUUGCUCGCUCUUUGGGGUCUCACUGUCUGUGCGAGCUGUAAUACUCGCCGCAAAGGUGUCUGGCUUCACUUCCGAGACCAGCGAGACCCCGAACCCACCGGGAGGAAUGAACAACUCCGGAUGGGAGGGACAAACAACACCAGACGCACCGCCUUAAGAGUCCUAACGCUCACCGCGGAGGUCUGCGGCUUCACUCUUGAAUGAAGCCAGCGAGAUCACAAACCCACCAGAAGGAAGGAACUCUGAACACAUCCGAAAAUCAGAAGGAACAAACUCCGGACACACUACCUUUAAGAACUGUAACACUCAAAUCGCGAGGGUCCACGGCUUCGUUCUUGAAGUCAGUGAGACCAAGAACCCACAAAUUCCGGACACUUCCCCACACAGAGGGAACUGGCCUAACACUCUGGUGGUGCCAAUAGGAUGUACUGACAGAUCAGAAGUGGUCGUGAGAGAAGGAGCAAGUAGCCAGAAGAGUGAAGUGUGCACUGGCUGAGAUGUGGGAGCAGGUGUUGUUGGUUUCCCCGGACAAGAAGGCCCUCGCCAGAUAUCAAGGCCUUAAGCU
rnacentral:lncRNA from 1 species